rnacentral:rRNA from 1 species
CCUGCUCAAUGUAAAAUAAAUAGCCGCAGUUUCUGUGCUAAGGUAGCAUAAUAAUUUGUCUUUUAAUUAAAGAAUAGAAUGAAAGGACGCACGAAUUAUUAACUAUUCACUUUUUACAUAAUAAAAUUAAUAUAAAAGUAAAAAAGCUUUUAACUAUUAAAAAGACGACAAGACCCUUUAGAACUUAACUAUUGUUAAGCUGGGGUGGCUAUUUAAUUAAAACUUAAAAUUUAACAACUAAUAAAUAAAAUUUACUUAACCAAGUUACCUAAGGGAUAACAGUGCAAUAUCAUACUAAAGUUCUAAUAAAAUAUAAAAUUUGCAACCUCGAUGUUGAAUUAUUAAACCUAAUUUAAGUAAAACUAAAUAAAGCAAGUCUGUUCGACUUUUAAUUUAAUACAU